rnacentral:rRNA from 1 species
AUUGAACGCUGGCGGCAUGCUUUACACAUGCAAGUCGAACGGUAACAGGCCUUCGGGUGCUGACGAGUGGCGAACGGGUGAGUAAUGCAUCGGAACGUGCCCAGAGGUGGGGGAUAACGCAGCGAAAGCUGUGCUAAUACCGCAUGUGAUCUGAGGAUGAAAGCGGGGGACCAGGCAGCAAUGUUUGGCCUCGCGCCUUUGGAGCGGCCGAUGUCAGAUUAGGUAGUUGGUGGGGUAAAGGCCUACCAAGCCGACGAUCUGUAGCUGGUCUGAGAGGACGACCAGCCACACUGGGACUGAGACACGGCCCAGACUCCUACGGGAGGCAGCAGUGGGGAAUUUUGGACAAUGGGCGCAAGCCUGAUCCAGCAAUGCCGCGUGCGGGAAGAAGGCCUUCGGGUUGUAAACCGCUUUUGUACGGAACGAAGAGGCUCUGGCUAAUACCUGGGGCUGAUGACGGUACCGUAAGAAUAAGCACCGGCUAACUACGUG